rnacentral:ncRNA from 3 species
AGAAUCCUCCAGGCCGAAUAUCUAAGGUUUCCAGAGUAAAGCUGAUCUGCUCUGGGUAAGUCGGGGCCUAAGGCGAGGUCGAAAGACGUAGUCGAUGGACAACAGGUUGAAAUUCCUGUACCGCAUAUUAUCAGAACUGUGGGGACACAGAACCGAAGAAGAACCCGGGAAUGAAAAGACCGGGGCAAGCACUGGACUGGCUGGAAUGGCAAAUCCACCCAGCAACAGGAAGGUGUGACGCGUACCGAACAUAAGUAGGGAAGUCUUCGUAGGGGCUGUCAAGAAAAGCCGCUAUUGUGUAAUAUGUGCCCGUACCGUAAACCGACACAGGUGGAUGAGGAGAGAAUCCUAAGGCCGGCGGGAGAAGCAUUGUUAAGGAACUCGGCAAAAUGACCCCGUAACUUCGGGAUAAGGGGUGCCUGGGAAACCAGGCCGCAGAGAAUAGGCUCAAGCAACUGUUUAGCAAAAACACAGGUCUAUGCAAAACCGAAAGGUGAGGUAUAUGGGCUGACGCCUGCCCGGUGCUGGAAGGUUACGAGGAGGGGUUAGCGGCAACGCGAAGCUCUGAAUUUAAGCCCCAGUAAACGGCGGCCGUAACUAUAACGGUCCUAAGGUAGCGAAUUCCUUGUCGGUAAGUUCCGACCCGCACGAAGGCGUAAUGAUUGAGCGCUGUCUCAACAAU